GGGUGAUGCUGCUUUUAGUCAAAGCAGCUACAAAACUCCGAGAGCAAGUCGGCCGUUUUCUACAUCUGGGCUGGCCGGGCUCCUUCUCGGAUUUAUCACAGGCGGGCAGCCGCUGACCCCUCCCUUUGCUAUUGGAGGUGGCUGCCCCGCCCCAGAGGCGCUCCUGCCACCCGCCCCUCCGACGGGGGGUGCCUCCAGCCACUUGUCCACAGCCUCGGGAGUCCCCACAGCAGAGGCAGCCGUGGGAGGGUGAGUUCUGAGGAGAUUGGGAUCCUCUCCAGGGAUGAGGGAGCCGGGCUGGAGGGGCUCUGUGGGGAGCGGGGAGACUUCGCUGGGGGACUCUGCUCCUGCUGAUAGAAGAGAAGAGGAGCGCGCUAUGGGCGUCUAGUGACUUGAGGCUGAUAGAAAAGAAGGGGCCCCUGGCCAGGCUCCAUGCUGAGGGCCGGGCGUGUUUGCUGCUUUUGAAGACAGAGAGCCUGGGGCGGGGAAGCUGGCGGCUCCUUCUUCCUCCCUCAGCUUGUCCCUUGCCCUGACCGGACACCCGGUGGGGCUCAGAGUUAAUGGGGUCACAAGAGAUCUACCAGCUCAGGAAAGAAGAAGGUGAGCAACAGGGACAGCUUCGGUUCUCCCAUUCGGGGCGGGGUGGCCUCGGGCAGGUUACCCCAUGGCUCUGCUCCUGAGCCUCCUCCCUGGGAAACUGGGCCAACACCUCCUACCUCACGGGCAGGCCGUGAGAACCAAACCUCGGAGUCAUUCGCCACCAGGAAAUGCAAAUGAAAGCCACAGUGAGAUGCCACCACACGCCCACGGCGACAGUGACAGACAAUCAGUGCUGGCCGGAACGGCAGCUGCCCCCCUGACCUCCCCACUCCUCUCUGGCGGGAACGGAAAACAGCAUAGCCCCCUUGGAAAACAGUUUGACCAUUUCUCAGAAAGUUCCACGUCACCUCCUUAUACUAGAUGGGAGAAGAGUGUGUGAAGAAUGAUUCCAUUCAGAUGUUUCUAGAAAAUGCACACUCAUCACAGUGACAGAGGCAGAUCAGAGUCUGUCUGGAGAGAGAGGGUGGGCAGGGGCAGGAGGGACGGGCGACAGAGGGGCACAUGGCUUCAGGGGGCGGUUUCACAGGUGUAGACAUGUCAAACUCAUCAAAUUGUACUGCUUCAUUAAAUGUCAGUUAUACCUGGGUAAA